rnacentral:miRNA from 1 species
AUUGGAUUGGCCAAAAAGUUUUGAGUUUUCCAUACUGUCCUAUGGCAAAACCCGGAUGAACUUUUUGGCCAACCCUACU